rnacentral:rRNA from 1 species
UACGUAGGGGGCAAGCGUUGUCCGGAUUUAUUGGGCGUAAAGAGCGUGUAGGCGGCUAGGUAGGUCCGUUGUGAAAACUCGAGGCUCAACCUCGAGCUGUCGAUGGAAACCAUCUGGCUAGAGUCCGGAAGAGGAGAGUGGAAUUCCUGGUGUAGCGAUGAAAUGCGCAGAUAUCAGGAAGAACACCCGUGGCGAAGGCGGCUCUCUGGUACGUGACUGACGCUGAGACGCGAAAGCGUGGGGAGCGAACAGG